GAUGAACACUGGCGGCGUGCCUAAUACAUGCAAGUCGAGCGAACGGACGAGAAGCUUGCUUCUCUGAUGUUAGCGGCGGACGGGUGAGUAACACGUGGAUAACCUACCUAUAAGACUGGGAUAACUUCGGGAAACCGGAGCUAAUACCGGAUAAUAUUUUGAACCGCAUGGUUCAAAAGUGAAAGACGGUCUUGCUGUCACUUAUAGAUGGGUCCGCGCUGCAUUAGCUAGUUGGUAAGGUAACGGCUUACCAAGGCAACGAUGCAUAGCCGACCUGAGAGGGGGAUCGCCCACACUGGAACUGAGACACGGUCCAGACUCCUACGGGAGGCAGCAGUAGGGAAUCUUCCGCAAUGGGCGAAAGCCUGACGGAGCAACGCCGCGUGAGUGAUGAAGGUCUUCGGAUCGUAAAACUCUGUUAUUAGGGAAGAACAUAUGUGUAAGUAACUGUGCACAUCUUGACGGUACCUAAUCAGAAAGCCACGGCUAACUACGUG
rnacentral:rRNA from 1 species